AACAUAAAUCACAUAAAAAAUUCAAAAUCACAAACCUAAAUUACAUCAAAAAUUCCAUAUAAAAUCCAUAACACAUAAAAAUACCAUGGAAAAAUUCAAGAACAAAACCAGAAAUCCAACCAAUAACACAACCCAAAAAUCCAACAAAGAACACAACCUAGCAACCCUCACAAUCAAGACAAUCCCAAAAAAGACGAUCCAAAUGAUGGAUGUGGAGUCGCCUCAACUGGAGCAGAAACUUUGGUGUUUGUGUCUGCAUUGAUGUCGAGCUUUUCUCAUGACAAAUUCAAGCAACCCAACCCAUGUCUGACUAAACUUGGUUUGAUUAUUCGAACAACUAAAGUGGAUUAUAUGAUUGUAUCAG
rnacentral:misc_RNA from 1 species